GAAGGUGAAGAAGACUUGGAAGUCAUUGGAUAACCACACUAAAGUCUAUGAGUAAAGGUGAAUACAAUGAGCAACUGGGUCAUGCGUCUCAUACCCAAAGAUAUCCAGAAUGAGUUUAUGGAAUUCUCCAUUCUCAUUCAUUCUCUACUACUUAAGGCUCGUGGCAUAUGAUUCUCAUCAUAACUUUCAAGUUCUUGGAAAAGAAUCUUUGAUGCUCCUUGUGUUGAUGUUGCUUGCUGGAGAGAGACUUGACAAUCAUAUGAUUCGAAUUGUGCUAAAGUCUAUGAAUAUAGUUGAAUACAGUGAGCAAUUGGGUCAUUCGUC
rnacentral:lncRNA from 1 species